GAUGAACGCUGGCGGCGUGCCUAAUACAUGCAAGUCGAGCGAACAGAUAAGGAGCUUGCUCCUUUGACGUUAGCGGCGGACGGGUGAGUAACACGUGGGUAACCUACCUAUAAGACUGGGAUAACUUCGGGAAACCGGAGCUAAUACCGGAUAACAUUUGGAACCGCAUGGUUCUAAAGUGAAAGAUGGUUUUGCUAUCACUUAUAGAUGGACCCGCGCCGCAUUAGCUAGUUGGUAAGGUAACGGCUUACCAAGGCGACGAUACGUAGCCGACCUGAGAGGGUGAUCGGCCACACUGGAACUGAGACACGGUCCAGACUCCUACGGGAGGCAGCAGUAGGGAAUCUUCCGCAAUAGGCGAAAGCCUGACGGAGCAACGCCGCGUGAGUGAUGAAGGGUUUCGGAUCGUAAAACUCUGUUAUUAGGGAAGAACAAAUGUGUAAGUAACUGUGCACGUCUUGACGGUACCUAAUCAGAAAGCCACGGCUAACUACGUG
rnacentral:rRNA from 1 species